rnacentral:lncRNA from 1 species
UUGAUAAUUGGAAAAUUAGGAUUGGCGCUGUUCAUUAGAUUUAAUCUUAUUAUUCCCUUACAGACCAUUAAACUGAUGAUGGCAUAUUGUCAAGAGAAGAAAUCAUCAGGAAUGAGCUGACCUCACAUGUUCACACUUACACUGAUAACGAGAAGUCUGGAAGCGUAUGGAGAAAAUCAUUUCAGAGUUUGAAGGCAGAAAUGACUACUGAUUCACUGGAUGAGAUGCUGUUUUCCUGAUAGCUCCCCUGGCUAAAGCCCACUAUUACAGAAGAUGAGACUUGGCCAACCACAAUCGCCUCCCAAGUGAUGUCUCACCUCUGCAUAAUACCGGAACAGACUGGGCUGAGAUGAUCCGUCUCCACCGGCCCGUCGCUGUCGCUCUCCAGGGAGGCUAAUUAUGGGAUUGAGAGAGUCAUAUCAGCUGGAUAUCAUGACAAUGCUCUGUUUUCAUGAGUUCUGAGAGGCCAUACUUUGAAUAUUCCAGCAUGACAGGGAACGAUCAAAUAGGACUUUCUGUCCUGGCAACCUGUGCUUAA